AUUGAACGCUGGCGGCAUGCCUUACACAUGCAAGUCGAACGGCAGCACGGGGGCAACCCUGGUGGCGAGUGGCGAACGGGUGAGUAACAUAUCGGAACGUGCCCUGGAGUGGGGGAUAACUAGUCGAAAGACUAGCUAAUACCGCAUACGAUCUACGGAUGAAAGUGGGGAUCGCAAGACCUCAUGCUCGUGGAGCGGCCGAUAUCUGAUUAGCUAGUUGGNGGGUAAGGCCUACCAAGGCAUCGAUCAGUAGCUGGUCUGAGAGGACGACCAGCCACACUGGGACUGAGACACGGCCCAGACUCCUACGGAGGCAGCAGUGGGAAUUUUGGACAAUGGGCGCAAGCCUGAUCCAGCAAUGCCGCGUGAGUGAAGAAGG
rnacentral:rRNA from 1 species